rnacentral:ncRNA from 1 species
UAGACAGAUUCUAAAACUCCCGAUAUCCAAGCCGGCUAUGAAAAAACCUCGACCGCGAUGAUGUCAAUGUUAGCAGACGCUAGCUUGAUUUACGGUCCU